rnacentral:rRNA from 1 species
GAAGGAUCAUUACCGAGUUUUCGAGCUCCGGCUCGACUCUCCCACCCUUUGUGAACGUACCUCUGUUGCUUUGGCGGCUCCGGCCGCCAAAGGACCUUCAAACUCCAGUCAGUAAACGCAGACGUCUGAUAAACAAGUUAAUAAACUAAAACUUUCAACAACGGAUCUCUUGGUUCUGGCAUCGAUGAAGAACGCAGCGAAAUGCGAUAAGUAAUGUGAAUUGCAGAAUUCAGUGAAUCAUCGAAUCUUUGAACGCACAUUGCGCCCCUUGGUAUUCCGGGGGGCAUGCCUGUUCGAGCGUCAUUACAACCCUCAAGCUCUGCUUGGAAUUGGGCACCGUCCUCACUGCGGACGCGCCUCAAAGACCUCGGCGGUGGCUGUUCAGCCCUCAAGCGUAGUAGAAUACACCUCGCUUUGGAGCGGUUGGCGUCGCCCGCCGGACGAACCUUCUGAACUUUUCUCAAGGUUGACCUCGGAUCAG